UACGUAGGGUGCAAGCGUUGUCCGGAAUUAUUUGGGCGUAAAGAGCUCGUAGGCGGUUUUGUCGCGUCUGCUGUGAAAACUCGGGGCUUAACCCCGGGCCUGCAGUGGGUACGGGGCAGACUAGAGUGCGGUAGGGGAGACUGGAAUUCCUGGUGUAGCGGUGAAAAUGCGCAGAUAUCAGGAGGAACACCGGUGGCGAAGGC
rnacentral:rRNA from 1 species